CCUGGAUUCUGCUGAUGAGAGCAGCUGGCAUUUAAGGUCCUGGAAUUGAUCCAUUCCUCGCCGGAUUAUUCAGUGACACAGGACACUUAUUGGAGUGUGGAACUCGUCUUUUGCUGGAGCUUAAGGACUCGUGUAUUUGGAUUUCUCUCCUGGAAACUCUCACCUGGAAACCAACCAUCCUCUGUCCUGCCACUCUCUCUCUCUCCCUCGGACCUGGAACACAAACGGACACCAAAACUUGGAACACUUACCUCCUGGAUUUCCCAUGCCUCCUCCUCCGUGCUGACCUCCCUCCCAAGAGCCUGACGAACGCACCGCUUUGCAUUCACUGUAAAUAAACAUCAUUUAACUUUUCA